rnacentral:rRNA from 1 species
AGAUUGAACGCUGGCGGCAGGCCUAACACAUGCAAGUCGAGCGGCAGCACGGGUACUUGUACCUGGUGGCGAGCGGCGGACGGGUGAGUAAUGCCUAGGAAUCUGCCUGAUAGUGGGGGGAUAACGUUCGGAAACGGACGCUAAUACCGCAUACGUCCUACGGGAGAAAGUGGGGGAUCUUCGGACCUCACGCUAUCAGAUGAGCCUAGGUCGGAUUAGCUAGUUGGUAGGUAAAGGCCUACCAAGGCUACGAUCCGUAACUGGUCUGAGAAGAUGAUCAGUCACACUGGAACUGAGACACGGCCCAGACUCCUACGGGAGGCAGCAGUGGGAAUAUUGGACAAGUGGGACGAAAGCCGUGACUCCAGCCAUGCCGCGUGUGUGAAGAAGAUC